UGGGGAAUAUUGCACAAUGGAGGAAACUCUGAUGCAGCGACGCCGCGUGAGUGAAGAAGGUCUUCGGAUCGUAAAACUCUGUCCUUGGUGACGAAAAAAAUGACGGUAGCCAAGGAGGAAGCCCCGGCUAACUACGUGCCAGCAGCCGCGGUAAUACGUAGGGGGCGAGCGUUGUCCGGAUUUACUGGGUGUAAAGGGUGAGUAGGCGGUAAUAUGUGUCAGAUGUAAAAGGCUAUGGCUUAACCAUAGUUGGCAUUUGAAACUGUAUUACUUGAGUGCAGGAGAGGUAAGUGGAAUUCCUAGUGUAGCGGUGAAAUGCGUAGAUAUUAGGAGGAACACCAGUGGCGAAGGCGACUUACUGGACUGUAACUGACGCUGAGUCACGAAAGCGUGGGUAGCAAACA
rnacentral:rRNA from 1 species